rnacentral:rRNA from 1 species
AGGGGAGCGGCAGACGGGUGAGUAACGCGUGGGAAUCUACCCUUUUCUACGGAAUAACGCAGGGAAACUUGUGCUAAUACCGUAUACGCCCUUCGGGGGAAAGAUUUAUCGGGAAAGGAUGAGCCCGCGUUGGAUUAGCUAGUUGGUGGGGUAAAGGCCUACCAAGGCGACGAUCCAUAGCUGGUCUGAGAGGAUGAUCAGCCACAUUGGGACUGAGACACGGCCCAAACUCCUACGGGAGGCAGCAGUGGGGAAUAUUGGACAAUGGGCGCAAGCCUGAUCCAGCCAUGCCGCGUGAGUGAUGAAGGCCCUAGGGUUGUAAAGCUCUUUCACCGGUGAAGAUAAUGACGGUAACCGGAGAAGAAGCCCCGGCUAACUUCGUGCCAGCAGCCGCGGUAAUACGAAGGGGGCUAGCGUUGUUCGGAAUUACUGGGCGUAAAGCGCACGUAGGCGGACAUUUAAGUCAGGGGUGAAAUCCCGGGGCUCAACCCCGGAACUGCCUUUGAUACUGGGUGUCUAGAGUAUGGAAGAGGUGAGUGGAAUUCCGAGUGUAGAGGUGAAAUUCGUAGAUAUUCGGAGGAACACCAGUGGCGAAGGCGGCUCACUGGUCCAUUACUGAC